rnacentral:rRNA from 1 species
GAACGCCCUCUGGCAACAGAGGGAGUGGCGGACGGGUGAGUAACACGUGGGAACCUGCCCCGAAGUGAGGAAUACCGGCGAGAAAUCGCCGACAAUACCGCAUAGCCUUCUCGCAAGAGAAGGAAAGCCCGCAAGGGUGCUUUGGGAGGGGCCUGCGUCCGAUUAGCUAGUUGGUGAGGUAAAAGCUUACCAAGGCUGCGAUCGGUAGCUGGUCUGAGAGGACGAGCAGCCACACUGGGAUUGAGAACGGCCCAGACUCCUACGGGGGGCAGCAGUGAGGAAUUUUCGGCAAUGGGGGCAACCCUGACCGAGCAACGCCGCGUGCAGGAAGAAGGUUUUCGGAUCGUAAACUGCUUUACUGAGGGACGAGAAUGGACGGUACCUCAGCAAUCAGCCCCGGCUAACUACGUGCCAGCAGCCGCGGUAAU